rnacentral:rRNA from 1 species
CCGCGCAAGCGGUGGAGUAGUGUGGUUUAAUUCGAUGCAACGCGAAGAACCUUACCUGGUCUUGACAUCCCGGAGACCCUUAGGAACUAGGGGUGCUUCCAUCUGGAAGAAUCUGGAGACAGGUGCUGCAUGGCUGUCGUCAGCUCGUGUCGUGAGAUGUUGGGUUAAGUCCCGCAACGAGCGCAACCCUUGCCUUUAGUUGCCAGCAGUUCGGCUGGGCACUCUAAAGGGACUGCCGGUGUUAAACCGGAGGAAGGUGGGGAUGACGUCAAGUCCUCAUGGCCUUUAUGACCAGGGCUACACACGUACUACAAUGGCCGAUACAAAGGGCAGCGACACUGCGAGGUGAAGCCAAUCCCGUAAAAUCGGUCUCAGUCCGGAUUGGAGUCUGCAACUCGACUCCAUGAAGUUGGAAUCGCUAGUAAUCGUGGAUCAGCAUGCCACGGUGAAUACGUUCCCGGGCCUU